rnacentral:rRNA from 1 species
UACGGGGGGGGCAAGCGUUGUUCGGAAUUACUGGGCGUAAAGGGCUCGUAGGCGGCCAACUAAGUCAGACGUGAAAUCCCCAGGCUCAACCUGGGAACUGCGUCUGAUACUGGAUGGCUUGAAUCCGGGAGAGGGAUGCAGAAUUCCAGGUGUAGCGGUGAAAUGCGUAGAUAUCUGGAGGAAUACCGGUGGCGAAGGCGGCAUCCUGGACCGGCAUUGACACUGAAGAGCGAAAGCGUAGGGAGCAAACAGG